rnacentral:rRNA from 1 species
AUUGAACGCUGGCGGCAGGCCUAACACAUGCAAGUCGAGCGGAUGAAGGGAGCUUGCUCCUGGAUUCAGCGGCGGACGGGUGAGUAAUGCCUAGGAAUCUGCCUGGUAGUGGGGGAUAACGUCCGGAAACGGGCGCUAAUACCGCAUACGUCCUGAGGGAGAAAGUGGGGGAUCUUCGGACCUCACGCUAUCAGAUGAGCCUAGGUCGGAUUAGCUAGUUGGUGGGGUAAGGCCUACCAAGGCGACGAUCCGUAACUGGUCUGAGAGGAUGAUCAGUCACACUGGAACUGAGACACGGUCCAGACUCCUACGGGAGGCAGCAGUGGGGAAUAUUGGACAACGGGCGAAAGCCUGAUCCAGCCAUGCCGCGUGUGUGAAGAAGGUCUUCGGAUUGUAAAGCACUUUAAGUUGGGAGGAAGGGCAGUAAGUUAAUACCUUGCUGUUUUGACGUUACCAACAGAAUAAGCACCGGCUAACUUCGUG